rnacentral:pre_miRNA from 1 species
UGGAGGAACAACCUCAGUGGCGGUGGCAGCUCUGGAAACCUGGAUUCAGCCCCCGCAGGAACUCCGGAGCUCUCGGUCUGCAGGGUCUGGAGGCUCCGGGGCAUG